UACGAAGGGGGCUAGCGUUGUUCGGAUUUACUGGGCGUAAAGCGCGCGUAGGCGGACAUUUAAGUCAGGGGUGAAAUCCCAGGGCUCAACCCUGGAACUGCCUUUGAUACUGGAUGUCUGGAGUUCGGGAGAGGUGAGUGGAAUUCCGAGUGUAGAGGUGAAAUUCGUAGAUAUUCGGAAGAACACCAGUGGCGAAGGCGACUAACUGGACAUGUAUUGACGCUGAGGUGCGAAAGCGUGGGGAGCAAACAGG
rnacentral:rRNA from 1 species